UUCCGCUAAGGUUUUUUCUUCUUGCUUUUUUAUUAUUCGUUUUUUUAUUAUUGUUAAUAAUAAUAAUGAAUAUCGGAUCUUUCUGAUGAUGUUUGGUUUUUGAUUUGCAGAUGUUGGUUGUGAAUCUCUUUGCUUUAGUGGCGAUAAAUCAGCAUUCAAUGACGUCGUGUAAAGAUGAGGUGAUGAGUUUGAUAUUUUGUUUCUUAAAAUCUGUGUUUUGAGCAUUUUUAGUUUUCCAUGGGAAAAAGAAUUUUGGGUGAAUAAUAUGUGUACCUGAAACUAGAUCAACUUUCUGUUUAUUCUUACACUGGCAAUCAAAAUUCUUGCUUUUUCUAAUUUUUGGGUUCAUCAUUUACUGCCUUCAGCAGUAGCAUGACUUACUUUAUUUUUCUUUUCCCAAUUCUUAAUUUUUUUGUUUGUUUCCUGCAUUUGCUGCCUUCAAUAGUAGCAUGACUUAUUCUAUUUUUCUUUUCCCAAUUCAUAAUUUUUUUUUGUUUCCUCAUUAAUGCAUGAUGCAGUUUCUUUUCAACCAGAUUAUGGUAAGAAAUUUACGAAUAUCAAUCGAUAUUAUUUCCAAGAUUUAGUUUUUGCCUUCUUUAGAAGAUAAAUGUGGCUACCAUAAAUUGAUAUUAUUUCCAAUAAAUCGUCUUCUAUUUAUGGAAUUCCCGGGCUUGGUCGAAUUCUAUAUAAAGCACUCGCACAAAGAUGAUGGUGAUAUAUCCUCGCAGCGAAGGAUGAAGCAAUGAACUUUUAUCUUUCACAGUUCACAGUUCACAGUUUUUCCUUAAACAUCUUCUAUUACAUAACCGUAGUUUUUCUUUAUUCAUUUAUUCCUUUUAUUGUUUAGUAUUUUUGUUCCUUUUAAUUUAUAUUUAGUUUUAUUUUGCAGUUGAUCGUAAUCGUUCCUCAUAGUCAAUAUUGAAACAAUAAAAUUAAAUAUGGACGUUUACUUUCGUACGAGUGUAUAGGUAUGUUCAAAAGUGUUUCAUGGGAAACUCGAAAGUAUUUAUGGGAAUCCUGAUCAAUUUCCGCAAGAGGUAUGCUCAAGCUUUUCAUGGGAAGCUCGAAAGUACUUAUGGGAAUCCUGAUAAAUUUCCGCAAGGAUUUGGAUUAUCUGUGUUUUCUUGGUUUAGGAGCAGGAGAUUGUCAAGAAGGUUUUUAAGAUCAAGAAACAAAAGGAGAAUGUUGGAAAUAUAUAGAUUUAUAAAAACUUUUUUGGGUUAUAUUAGAUGAAGGAAAUUUUGACUUUCAAGUAGAUAACAAAUGCGUGUUUUCAUGUUGUUGGUUUGGUUCGACUAAAUCGUUUCUUUUGCGUAAAGGUUAAUUUAGGUUCUUUGUGUUUAUGAAGACCCUGAAAUUUGUAUGGGGUGGCAUCCAAGGGUUCGACAAAGGGGUCUAAUAAGUGAUAUGGCGUAGGAGUUCAUCACGGUUACAUUAUAGGUUGAGUUUCUUUGGUUUGUCUUAGGCUUUAGUCAGUUCACUGAUAUAAACUCUUUCAUGUUUGUCUACUGCAUUAUAAGUUCUUUGCUUAUCUGCAUUCGUAUAAAAUACCAAUAGUUGUAAGGGUUCCACUCGAAUCCCAAACGAUUUGAAGACGAAAUAUUAUAGGUGAUAUGGCAUA